rnacentral:rRNA from 1 species
GUCCAGACUCCUACGGGAGGCAGCAGUGGGGAAUAUUGCACAAUGGGCGAAAGCCUGAUGCAGCAACGCCGCGUGAAGGAAGACGGUUUUCGGAUUGUAAACUUCUGUUCUUAGUGAAGAAUAAUGACGGUAACUAAGGAGCAAGCCACGGCUAACUACGUGCCAGCAGCCGCGGUAAUACGUAGGGGGCAAGCGUUAUCCGGAUUUACUGGGUGUAAAGGGUGCGCAGGUGGCAGGGCAAGUCAGAUGUGAAAGCCCGGGGCUCAACCCCGGUAUUGCAUUUGAAACUGUCCGGCUAGAGUGCAGGAGAGGUAAGCGGAAUUCCUAGUGUAGCGGUGAAAUGCGUAGAUAUUAGGAGGAACACCAGUGGCGAAGGCGGCUUACUGGACUGUAACUGACACUGAGGCACGAAAGCGUGGGGAGCAAACAGGAUUAGAUACCCGAGUA